GCCCAGGGCAAAAAAAUAUUGAGCCUUGGUGGCGCAGUGGUUAGAGGGCAGUACUGCAAGCUACUCCUACUGCAAUUUUGCAGAUCGAAUCCCAGCAGACUCAAGAUUGACUCAGCCUUCCAUCCUUCCAAGGUGGGUAAAAUGAGGACCCAAAUUGUAGGGGGCAAUAUUCUGACUCUGUAAACCACUUUGAAAUGGCUGUAAAGCACUAUAAAGCAUU